UGGGGGAUAUUGCACAAUGGCGAAAGCCUGAUGCAGCGACGCCGCGUGGGGGAUGAAGGCUUUCGGGUUGUAAACCUCUUUCGCUAUCGAACAAGGCCCGCUUAGGGUGGGUUGAGGGUAGGUGGAGAAGAAGCGCCGGCUAGCUACGUGCCAGCAGCCGCGGUAAUACGUAGGGCGCGAGCGUUGUCCGGAAUUAUUGGGCGUAAAGGGCUUGUAGGCGGCUUGUUGCGCCUGCUGUGAAAACGCGGGGCUUAACUUCGCGCGUGCAGUGGGUACGGGCAGGCUUGAGUGUGGUAGGGGUGACUGGAAUUCCAGGUGUAGCGGUGGAAUGCGCAGAUAUCUGGAGGAACACCGAUGGCGAAGGCAGGUCACUGGGCCAUUACUGACGCUGAGGAGCGAAAGCAUGGGUAGCGAACAGG
rnacentral:rRNA from 1 species